rnacentral:rRNA from 1 species
GAUGAACGCUGGCGGCGUGCUUAACACAUGCAAGUCGAACGAUGAAGCCCAGCUUGCUGGGUGGAUUAGUUGCGAACGGGUGAGUAACACGUGAGUAACCUGCCCUUAACUCUGGGAUAAGCCUGGGAAACUGGGUCUAAUACCUGAUAGGAGCGUCCACCGCAUGGUGGGUGUUGGAAAGAUUUAUCGGUUUUGGAUGGACACGCGGCCUAUCAGCUUGUUGUUGAGGUAAUGGCUCACCAACGCGACGACGGGUAGCCGGCCUGAGAGGGUGACCGGCCACAAUGGGACUGAGACAGGGCGCAGACUCCUACGGGAGGCAGCAGGGGGGAAUAUUGCACAAUGGGCGCAAGCCAGAUGCAGCGACGCCGCGUGAGGGAUGACGGCCUUCGGGUUGUAAACCUCUUUCAGUAGGGAAGAAGCGAAAGUGACGGUACCUGCAGAAGAAGCACCGGCUAACUACGUG